rnacentral:rRNA from 1 species
UACGGGGGGUGCGAGCGUUGUUCGGAUUUACUGGGCGUAAAGGGCGCGUAGGCGGCGCAACAAGUCACUUGUGAAAUCUCCGGGCUUAACUCGGAAAGGUCAAGUGAUACUGUUGUGCUAGAGUGCGGAAGGGGCAACUGGAAUUCUCGGUGUAGCGGUGAAAUGCGUAGAUAUCGAGAGGAACACCUGCGGCGAAGGCGGGUUGCUGGGCCGACACUGACGCUGAUGCGCGAAAGCCAGGGGAGCGAACGGG